GACGAACGCUGGCGGCGUGCUUAAUACAUGCAAGUCGAACGGAAAGGCCCUGCGCUUGUGGGGUGCUCGAGUGGCGAACGGGUGAGUAACACGCGAGUAACCUGCCCUUGACUUUGGGAUAACUUCAGGAAACUGGGGCUAAUACCGGAUAGGAGCUCCUGCUGCAUGGUGGGGGUUGGAAAGUUUCGGCGGUAGGGGAUGGACUCGCGGCUUAUCAGCUUGUUGGUGAGGUAGUGGCUUACCAAGGCUUAGACGGGUAGCCGGCCUGAGAGGGUGACCGGCGUCAAUACUACUAAGAGAGGGAGCAGUAGGCUACCGGACGCAAUAGGCGAGAGUCUGACGGAGUGAGCGGGAGCGUGUUACAGCGGCCCCGCGUGCGGGAUGCUGUGCUUCGAGGUAUGAACAGAUGUCGCCGGAGACGUAGAGGGAGUGACGGUAAUGGAUAAGAAAGCACCGGCUAACUACGUG
rnacentral:rRNA from 1 species